UCUUCUUCUUCUUCUAUUCUCACUCUGUUUUCUUCCUGGGUCCUCCAAUCUCCUUCAGUUAGGUUCCAGCGACGGCUUCACACAGGUUAGCUUGGUUUUUUUUUUCUUGUUUUGUUCUUGGGUAGGCUAGACUUUGGUUUUAAUUUUUUUUUCUGAAAUGUUCUAAUCAUCUCAGCGAACUAAGAAACCCUUAGAAGCGUCUUCACCUUUAAGGCAUUUCAGAAAAUGAAAGGGCAAGAAGACUUGGGAUGCUGAGUCGUUCAUCAAUGAGUGGACAAACAAAUAUAGGGUGAAUCAUCUCCCAAGGAUUGUGAGGCUGUGAUGUCAUUCUCCUCGAAGUACACAUUGAGACAAUUUCUAAAUCCAUCAUGUUCCUUUUAAUUGCCCUUUUGGUAAGCUAGUUUUGCCAUUUCAUAUCUUGUUGCCUUCUCGUUUUCAGCAAAGGAAAUAAAACUAUAGUAUAUGCCUUUUUUUAUUCCAAAAAAAAAUCAAAUUCUGUUGUAGCAGUCAAUAUUCCUGAUAGGGCUUAGCAAUAAAAUCUUAUUUUUGGCCAAGACUCCUUACUCGAACACAAACACACCAUGCAAUGUCAAAACAAAAAGAAAAAAUAGAUGACACUAGCUAUGCGUGAUUUUCAUAUUUAAUAGUUUUUAUGUUGGGGUAGAUGAGGAACUAAAUUUAUCUGAGGUAUAGGUUCUAAGUGAUUUGCAAAUUUGUUGCUUUGUAAUGAAAUUUUGAAGAGGAAAAUAUUUGCUAACUGUGUUUGAUCAUAGGCUUUGGUUUCCAAAACAGGUGGUCAGCUAAUUCCAAUGGUAGUGCUUUAGAGUAUCUUGGGUAAAAAGAAAUUUAUACAGUAGAUGUUGAUAUUAAUGCUUUGAGCUUUCAUGACAUUCUAAUCUUCAACAAGGGCCAUUGGUAUUCUGUUGUCAUUUUUCUCUGUCAUUUCCAUAUUAUUGUUGUUGGUGUAGAAUAGAAAUUACAGGGGAUGAUAAUGUGUCAUUUAAUUACUAACAAUUGUCUUUACAGAGAUUUUGUCACUUAUGAUGAUGUUAAAUGUACUUUGUUACAUUGUAUUUGUCACUCUGAUAGAAAUUGAUCAUAAUGCACAGUUGAUGUAUGCAUGUGUCUCAUCAUGGGCUUUUAUGUUCAUAAUUGUAUUUUUGUAGUUUACUAUCAACAUUUGACAUGGAAGGUGUUGCAAUUAACAGGUGGUGGGCUACUUCAAAAUUUGACUCUCUUAAAUCUCUAAUACUUUUUAAGUUCUCAGCCUAUGAUUCCUCCACAAACAGAAUAAUAUCAAGGAGUAGGACAAACAUAAGGAUGCUAUUCAUGGGGUGUCAUGAUAAUAUACAAGAGGAAAUGAAUGGACAUUUCAAAGGGCCAAAGGAAAAAGGAGAAGAGUGUUGUAGGCUCUUGAACUGUAACAUGAACUUUUGAUGCAGUGUGUAGAUUUGUAAAUGUGGUUAGCUUGUAUAAUGUAUUAGAUUUUGUAUCAUAAACACUUAAAUUGUAAUAAUAACACCCAUUCCUUUUAUAAAA